CUCGCUUCUCGGCCUUUAGGCUAAGAUCAAAGUUUAGUUUCUGUUCUUAUCGAAUUAACCUUCGAUAGAGUUUCGAACCCUAUUAACUUGUUUUAAAUUUCUUUAUAGUUCCCAUUCCUU
rnacentral:snRNA from 1 species